rnacentral:rRNA from 1 species
UACAGAGGUCUCAAGCGUUGUUCGGAAUCACUGGGCGUAAAGGGUGCGUAGGCGGCGGAGUAAGUCGGGUGUGAAAUUUGAGGGCUCAACCUUCAACUAGCACCUGAUACUGCUUCGCUCGAGGCCUGAAGAGGAGCUUGGAAUUCUCGGUGUAGCAGUGAAAUGCGUAGUAUUCGAGAAGAACGCUCGCAGCGAAAAGCGAAGCUCUGGUCAGGUUCUGACGCUGAGGCACGAAGGCUAGGGGAGCAAACGGG